AGAAUUACAAUUGUCGAGACUUCAUGGCUUCUACCGACAUAAAUGUCGAAUCUUUUAACAAUUUUCUUUCCAUUUUUAAAACCAUCAACACCAAAGACGACAUCAUGAACUUCGGCUUAAAACAGAUAACGACACAAAUAAAAUACAGAAUGAAAAACAGUCAUGAAUAACAUUUAGACUAAGUAAAUCAAACAAUCAAUUGAAUAAUAUUAAUACACGCCACAUCAGGUGCGGUUGUUGGCACCUGAUGCUCACUGCCGACGUUCAUCACGGAUGAGGUAUUUUUUAAUUUUCUUUCAAUUACUCGAGAACACGAGCGGACGACGAAACGCGAGAUGGAGUUCUGCGAUUCACCACCUGUAGUUCUUGAACUCCAUCUCCCGCAGUUCCAAGAGAUGACGGAACUCCAAGAACCCCAUCUCCCAUGGUUUCACACAACGACAUGCCUCCAUGACCUCCAACUGCAGCGAGCUUCCACUGCGGAGCACGCCCAAUAUUAAUAAUAGUAAUGAAAUAGCUUUGUUUUUCUUGAAUGAAGAGUUGAAAAGUGAAGACCCUCGGAUAAUGAUUAAUGAUAGCACAAGCCAUAAAUGACAAGGCAACAACCAAGAGUCCAAGAGUGAAGAAAAUAAAUGAAGAUCAGAACAACACCUUUGCACUAACGGCCCCUCAUUGUUAUAUGCGUUCCAAAUCGAUAUUAAAUAGACCCACCAUAAAAAGGUACGAAUACAUAUUUUCUACUCUCGUUUUUAUAUGUUUUUAUGACUCUUCUUGUUCUCAAAUCGUCGAUUUCUUUUCCUAAAGAUUUAAGCACGCGUCGUGAACCUUCGGCACGAGAAGGACGGUCGCUUGCACUGGUAAGAUUAUUCGUUCCUCAUCAUAGAGCUUUCGUUGAAGUACGUCUCCUCCCCAUUACUAGCGUCCAAUCACCCAAAGACAUGGUAUAAUACUCCUGAGUCCGAGGUACAACAGCAGUAUUCAAAGAAGGCUCAGUAAGAGUGCACAUGCGAAGUCCAUGGAUUGUGCUUUCCAAAACCCCUGAUGCUUAGCCACCACUGACGAGCAUGAAUAUCGCUUCUCAAACUCAGCAAAGAUCUUAUCCAUAUUUUCAUCAUUCGUCUUCGCCUGCUCGGCCUCUUGGUGCACUUCCGCAUCAACUGAGGCAGUUCGGACCACCUUGUCCUUCUCAGCCUCAGCCUCCUUCAGCUCCUGAUCCAAGCGGCCAACCUGCUCACGCAGGUGAUUCAACUCCUCCACUUGGUCCAAACCUCACAGCAUUUGUACAUUGGCAAGGGUGGCACUACAAAUCAGGAUAUUUGGGUGCGUAGCACGAUCGAACUCCAGAGAGUCAUAAGCAUAGAGGUCGGCAAACUCACUCUCUUUCCUUGCAAAAGUGUCAAGGGCCAGGUCCGCAACUUGGUAAAUCCCCAAGAUGCGGGGCACUGACAUAACAGGAUUGAGAAAGACACUUCCCUCAAGGAAUUUCCCCGGGACAAGGGACGAGUCGAUAAGAGCAUCGAGGUUAAAAUCAUUAACGUCGUUGGGAAUCAGACCGAUUGGGGUUUCCAAGGUACGGAGUUUUAUCCUUCCCAUCUUUCAGGGGCGGUGGGACAGGUUUCUGCUCCUCGGUGGACUCGGACCGAGUCACACAGAUCUUAGAUUUCUUCUUCACAGAGGAAGGAGAGUCAGGAUCCACUACUCCUCAACCAAAAGAAGAUUGAAAUAUAUAUAAAAAAGUAAUACAAGGGAGGAAUAAAGAAAUCUUAUCAAACGAAAAAGUACCAGCUUUGGCAACGUGCGUGGCAAAGAACCACGUACCGCGUCGGAGUGCGUGAGAAGUCAAAAGUUUCUCAACCUUCGUGUAGUCAUAGGAAACUGACCAACAUUUGG
rnacentral:lncRNA from 1 species